rnacentral:rRNA from 1 species
GUGGGGAAUCUUGCGCAAUGGGCGAAAGCCUGACGCAGCCAUGCCGCGUGAAUGAUGAAGGUCUUAGGAUUGUAAAAUUCUUUCACCGGGGACGAUAAUGACGGUACCCGGAGAAGAAGCCCCGGCUAACUUCGUGCCAGCAGCCGCGGUAAUACGAAGGGGGCUAGCGUUGCUCGGAAUUACUGGGCGUAAAGGGCGCGUAGGCGGACAGUUUAGUCAGAGAUGAAAGCCCAGGGCUCAACCUUGGAAUUGCCUUUGAUACUGGCUGUCUUGAGUACGGGAGAGGUGAGUGGAACUCCGAGUGUAGAGGUGAAAUUCGUAGAUAUUCGGAAGAACACCAGUGGCGAAGGCGACUCACUGGCCCGUUACUGACGCUGAGGCGCGAAAGCGUGGGGAGCAAACAGGAUUAGAUACCCGAGUAGUCC